GACGAACGCUGGCGGCGUGCUUAACACAUGCAAGUCGAACGGAAAGGCCCUGCUUUUGUGGGGUGCUCGAGUGGCGAACGGGUGAGUAACACGUGAGUAACCUGCCCUUGACUUUGGGAUAACUUCAGGAAACUGGGGCUACUACCGGAUAGGAGCUCCUGCUGCAUGGUGGGGGUUGGAAAGUUUCGGCGGUUGGGGAUGGACUCGCGGCUUAUCAGCUUGUUGGUGGGGUAGUGGCUUACCAAGGCUUUGACGGGUAGCCGGCCUGAGAGGGUGACCGGCCACAUUGGGACUGAGAGACGGCGCAGACUCCUACGGGAGGCAGCAGUGGGGAAUAUUGCACAAUGGGCGGAAGCCUGAGGCAGCAACGCCGCGUGCGGGAUGACGGCCUGCGGGUUGUAAACCGCUUUCGCCUGUGACGAAGCGUGAGUGACGGUAAUGGGUAAAGAAGCACCGGCUAACUACGUG
rnacentral:rRNA from 1 species